rnacentral:lncRNA from 1 species
UAGGGAGGAAUCUUGUUCAUUCAUUUACCCAUUCUAGCUGUGGUAACCAGACCAAAGGUGGUGUCUGGAAAGCAUGAUGAAUAUGGAGUCAGAAAACCUGAGUUCUAAUCCCACUUCUCUAAAGCUUCAGGUUCCUCUUCUACAAAAUGAAAGGAAUUAGAUGAAAUGACCCCUACUUCUUGCUUUAUAACCAUGGGUCUAGUUAACUUCCUGCAACUACACAAAAUAAUCAGAGUCAUCCAAGUCCAGUGGCAAGACAAAAGUUAGGAUCUCAAGCCUGUCUGUGAGUUAGGGGGUGUCUACCCCAGGCAUGUGAAGGCUAGAGAAUCAGACUUGCAGUCAAAAACAAGACCUCAAGACACUCUAGGUAUGUGACCCUGGGCAAGGUAUUUAACCUCUCCCAGCCUUGUUAUUCUUAUAUAACUAUAUAACUGUAUAAAAUAUUCUAUAAAAUUGGCAUAAUAACAUUUGUAGUGUUUAUCUCACUGUGUUGUUAAGAAGAUCAAAUCAUCAUUAGAUUCCUUAUUUGUAAAAUGAAGGAAAAAAAGACAUUGCAUUUGAUUCAGGGUUGUUGUGAGGAAAUAAUGAGAUUAGUUAUGUAAAGUGCUUCACAAAUCUUGAAGUGCUAUAUACAUUUUAGUUACUUUGCAAUUCCAUUGAAAUGUUCACUAUUGAGAGUUGGACUCUUAGCAUAGUUAUCUGAUCACUUUGUAUCCCCAGUUCCUCGAUCAGGGGUUUUCCCCAUAGUAGACAGACUGGUGUUAAAUUUAUGGGCAUCUUUGAAAAUCAUCCUGAGCAGAUUAAAGUAGACAGGAAGAGAGGCAGGUAGAGAUGAUACUCUAAGACAAUGACUUCCAAAUGUUUUUGAUUGUGCACCUCUAUCAUUAAAAUAUUUUUGAGCUUUCAUUCUCAACAUGCAGAAAAAUAAUUUUGUACAAUAUCAGGUAUCCCUUUCAAAUUGAGACUUUUCUCAUCAAGGUUUAGGCUUAUUGGGAUUGGCAUAAGAAAUUAAAUGGGAACAUUUUUUGGAAUUUGAAGAAGAUGCAGAGGAGGUAAUGGUCAUCAGAUGAUACCUGGGGAAAAAAAACAACAACUUAGAAACUCAG